rnacentral:rRNA from 1 species
GACGAACGCUGGCGGCGUGCUUAACACACGCAAGUCGUACGGUAAGGCCCUUUCGGGGGUCCACGAGUGGCGAACGGGUGAGUAACACGUGAGUAACCUGCCCACAACUUUGGGAUAACGCUAGGAAACUGGUGCUAAUACUGGAUAUGUGCUCCUGCUGCAUGGUGGGGGUUGGAAAGCUCCGGCGGUUGUGGAUGGACUCGCGGCCUAUCAGCUUGUUGGUGGGGUAGUGGCCUACCAAGGCGGCGACGGGUAGCCGGCCUGAGAGGGUGACCGGCCACAGUGGGACUGAGAUACGGCCCAGACUCCUACGGGAGGCAGCAGUGGGGAAUAUUGCACAAUGGGCGCAAGCCGGAUGCAGCAACGCCGCGGGCGGGAGGACGGCCUUCGGGUUGUAAACCGCUUUCAGCAGGGACGAAGCUUUUUGUGACGGUACCUGCAGAAGAAGCACCGGCUAACUACGUG